rnacentral:rRNA from 1 species
UCGUGGAUUGAUUUGUCUGGUUAAUUCCGAUAACGAACGAGACCUUUCCUACUCGUUACUUUGCAUGCACUUUUGUGCAUGUUAAAAGUUCUUAGCGGGACAGCUGGCGUUUAGCCAGAGGAAGUUCGAGGCAAUAACA